AUGGCUUCUUAUCCUUUUGGCUAAGGUUAAGUAUGGCAUCUGUUCAUUUUAGUUUAAUAUCUAAUAAACCCUCUAUCAAGUACGAUAUAUGAAAUGGAUUUUUGGAGCAGAGAGAUGGAAUAGGAAUUUGUUUCCUCCACUCCAAACAUCCCUCUGUUAUUGCAGUACCUCCAGAAAUGGUGCACAAAAA